AUUGAACGCUGGCGGCAUGCCUUACACAUGCAAGUCGAACGGCAGCACGGGUGCUUGCACCUGGUGGCGAGUGGCGAACGGGUGAGUAAUACAUCGGAACAUGUCCUGUAGUGGGGGAUAGCCCGGCGAAAGCCGGAUUAAUACCGCAUACGAUCUACGGAUGAAAGCGGGGGACCUUCGGGCCUCGCGCCAUAGGGUUGGCCGAUGGCUGAUUAGCUAGUUGGUGGGGUAAAGGCCUACCAAGGCGACGAUCAGUAGCUGGUCUGAGAGGACGACCAGCCACACUGGGACUGAGACACGGCCCAGACUCCUACGGGAGGCAGCAGUGGGGAAUUUUGGACAAUGGGCGAAAGCCUGAUCCAGCAAUGCCGCGUGUGUGAAGAAGGCCUUCGGGUUGUAAAGCACUUUUGUCCGGAAAGAAAUCCUUGGCCCUAAUACGGUCGGAGGAUGACGGUACCGGAAGAAUAAGCACCGGCUAACUACGUG
rnacentral:rRNA from 1 species